AAUGAACGCUGGCGGCAUGGAUUAGGCAUGCAAGUCGAGCGAGAAGUGUAGCAAUACACGGAAAGCGGCGGAAGGGAGAGUAAUACGUGGGAAUCUGCCCUUAGACCUGGGAUAGCAGCGGGAAACUGCUGGUAAUACCAGAUAAUGUCUACGGACCAAAGGUGUGAUUCCGUCUAGGGAUGAGCCCACGUCCUAUUAGCUAGUUGGUAGGGUAAUGGCCUACCAAGGCGAUGAUGGGUAGCGGGUGUGAGAGCAUGACCCGACUCACUGGGACUGAGACACUGCCCAGACACCUACGGGUGGCUGCAGUCGAGAAUCUUCGGCAAUGGGCGCAAGCCUGACCGAGCGAUGCCGCGUGCGGGAUGAAGGCCUUCGGGUUGUAAACCGCUGUCGAGGGGGAGCAACUUCCAUAGAGUUAUCUUUAUGGAUUGAGUGAUCCCUGGAGGAAGGACGGGCUAAGUUCGUGCCAGCAGCCGCCGUAAUAC
rnacentral:rRNA from 1 species